AAACAGGAUGUGCUGAUUUUUUUCUCUCUCUUAACCAUUUGGAUAUUUAACUUUAGAUUGUGCAAGUUGUGCUAUCUAUAUAGCUUGUCACUUGCCACUCUCAAAAAUUUAUUGACCACGAGUUCCUUUAAUCGCUUAAGCUUAUAGUCUACUUUGAAGGGUAGCUUUUCUAAUAUGCACAUUGAAAUUUACUCUUAUUGGUUGGAAUUUUUGUGAAGUUAUAUGUACUAUUGAAAGUAUUGACAAUGACUGCUAAAGGAAUACCAGUAUUUUCGGCAGUUUAAGCUCUGACAGAGUGGAUGGUGUUUAGCUCCCUUAGUUUCUUCUCAUUUGAAUAUUGGGUGUUUAGAAGAGCUUAUACUGAGCUAAUUUUAAAGUGACUUAUGAAUUUCUUAUGAGUCCCUUUAGCUUAUUUCAAUUAGUUUCAAGGUGAAUAUAAACAUAAUCUCUUCUUAUUUUAGUACGCUUAUUAUAUAGGCUCUUAUGUUAUAUUAAUCUUGAAAAAGAACUUAUUCUGCUUAUCCAAAUGCACUUAUAAUAUUUCUAGACUGUUAGAGCCUAGUAUAUUGAAAACUAGAAAGUUGUAGCAAGUUGGCAGUCAUGCCGACAAUCAUGGAAUCAAAGUUCCUCUUAUUAAAUUCAAUAGUUUGACUAAUUUAGGGUUUAAAAUCUGAGUUAGAAAAGGCUUCACCUACUUUUGGCCGUGGUGCUACAUACUUGAAGGAAUUACGCAUUAAGGCCUUACCAAGACAUAUCUUUCAAGCGAAACACCGACUCCAUUGGUGAAAUAUAGAGAAGAAGAGUUAGUUAAUUUGGGAGGAGAUGGAACGGGAUAACGUAGAGAGUGGGAGAGGGUCUAUGACUAUGAUGUCUACAAGAUAAGGAUGAAAAUCAUGUGCGUCCUAUUCUUGGAGGGUCUGACACCUUGCCUUAUCCUUGUAGGGGGAGGACUGGUAGAAGACCAACAAGGAAAGAUCCAAACAGUGAGAUGAAGCUUUUGGACAUUUGAAGUUAGUGGCCCCAUAUUCCCUAUUUUUUCUCCUUUUCUUACAAAUUAUUAGGAAGUUUAUAUAACUUUGUCAUUUUGUUUUUAUUUUCUAUUUAUUUAUUUUGUGUAUCUUGUAUCAGUGCUAUGCUGCACUAUAGUUAUUAAACGUUCAAGAAUACAUUAAAAACAUUUUGUUUUAUCUCUCUACUGAAAGAGUGAGAUAGUACAUUUAAAAAGGUUUA